GACGAACGCUGGCGGCGUGCUUAACACAUGCGAGUCGAACGGAAAGGCCCCCUUGUGGGGUACUCGAGUGGCGAACGGGUGAGUAACACGUGAGUAACCUACCCUUGACUUUGGGAUAACUUCAGGAAACUGGGGCUAAUACCGGAUAGGAGCUACUGCUGCAUGGUGGGGGUUGGAAAGUUUCGGCGGUUGGGGCUGGACUCGCGGCUUAUCAGCUUGUUGGUGGGGUAGUGGCUCACCAAGGCUUUGACGGGUAGCCGGCCUGAGAGGGUGACCGGCCACAUUGGGACUGAGAUACGGCCCAGACUCCUACGGGAGGCAGCAGUGGGGAAUAUUGCACAAUGGGCGGAAGCCUGAUGCAGCAACGCCGCGUGCGGGAUGACGGCCUUCGGGUUGUAAACCGCUUUCGCCUGUGACGAAGCGUGAGUGACGGUAAUGGGUAAAGAAGCACCGGCUAACUACGUG
rnacentral:rRNA from 1 species